rnacentral:rRNA from 1 species
ACUCAAAUGAAUUGACGGGGACUUGCACAAGCGGUGGUCCAUGUGGUUCAAUUCGACGACAAACGAAAAACCUUACCAGGGUUAGACAUCCAAUCGAAGCCUAGAGGAAACUUUAGGCGUCUCACAAGGACGGUUGGACAGGUGCUGCAUGGUUGUCGUCAGUUCGUGGUUUGAACUGUUCCCUUAAGUGGGGUAACGAACGCAACCCUCGUUGCCUGUUAUAUAUGUCAGGCGAGACUGCUCCCUUACGGGAGAGGAAGGUGAGGAUGACGCCAAAUCAGCAUGGCCCUCUGAUACCCUGGGCUACACACGUGGAACAAUCGCUGCUACAACGGGUUGCAAAGCCGAGAUAAGGCCGAGCCAAUCCUUAUAAAAGCAGCGCCAGUUCGGAUUGAGGUCUGCAACUCGACCUCAUGAAGCCGGAAUCGCUAGUAAUCGCGGAUCAGCAUUGCCGCGGUGAAUACGUUCUCAAGUCUUGUACACACCGCCCGU